rnacentral:rRNA from 1 species
ACUCCUACGGGAGGCAGCAGUGGGGAAUAUUGCACAAUGGGCGCAAGCCUGAUGCAGCCAUGCCGCGUGUAUGAAGAAGGCCUUCGGGUUGUAAAGUACUUUCAGCAGUGAGGAAGGUGGUGUCGUUAAUAGCGGCAUCAUUUGACGUUAGCUGCAGAAGAAGCACCGGCUAACUCCGUGCCAGCAGCCGCGGUAAUACGGAGGGUGCGAGCGUUAAUCGGAAUUACUGGGCUAAAGCGCAUGCAGGUGGUUUGUUAAGUCAGAUGUGAAAGCCCGGGGCUCAACCUCGGAAUUGCAUUUGAAACUGGCAGACUAGAGUACUGUAGAGGGGGGUAGAAUUUCAGGUGUAGCGGUGAAAUGCGUAGAGAUCUGAAGGAAUACCGGUGGCGAAGGCGGCCCCCUGGACAGAUACUGACACUCAGAUGCG